UACGUAGGGUGCAGGCGUUAAUCGGAAUUACUGGGCGUAAAGCGUGCGCAGGCGGUUUGUUAAGACAGAUGUGAAAUCCCCGGGCUUAACCUGGGAACUGCGUUUGUAACUGGCAAGCUAGAGUGUGGCAGAGGGGGGUGGAAUUCCAAGUGUAGCAGUGAAAUGCGUAGAUAUUUGGAGGAACACCAAUGGCGAAGGCAGCCCCCUGGGUUAACACUGACGCUCAUGCACGAAAGCGUGGGGGAGCAAACAGG
rnacentral:rRNA from 1 species